AAAUGAUGAAGCAGAACCAACAAUAGCUGGAAUUACCGGCAGAACUUUCCUGUUGAUAACAGGUCUUCUGACU